GGUGGGAAUGGGUGAUGGGCUGAUGGGAGUGGUAAACCUGUAGAUGACUGUUAAUGACUGCUAAUGACUGCAAUUAGUCCGGGGGGGGGGGAAGCAAGGGCUGAGGCGCUAAAGAAAGCUUGAUCAUGCAUAAUGAGAUAAGAAUCCGAUGUCUUUAUUCAUCUCAGGUGGCUCCAUGGUUUUAAGCUUGGUAAUGAGUUCCAAUUCAGCAACUUCUCUUUCCAGUCUGUUCCUGAAAUUUCUCUGUAAUAAAACAGCUGCUUUGAGAUCUUGUAUAGAAUGUCCUGAGAGAUUGAAGUGUUCUCCUACUGGUUUCUCUGUCUUAUGGUUCCUGAUGUCAGAUGUAUGUCCAUUUAUCCUUUGGCGUAGGGUUUGGCCUGUUUGUCCAAUAUAGAGAGCUGAAGGGCACUGUUGGCAUUUGAUGGCAUACACAAUGUUUGAAGACGAGCAAUUAAAUAGUCCUGAGAUGGUAUGUUGGAUGUUGUUGGGGCGAGUAAUGAUGUUGUCCGGGUGUAUGUGGCAGCAAAGUUGGCAUCUAGGUUUAUUGCAGGCUCUGGUACCAGUGUCCAUGUUAAGUCUGGUGGUUGUAUUAUUGUGGGUGAGGAGUUGUUUAAGAUUGGGUGGCUGUCUGUAGGCAAAGAAAGGUCUUCCUCCCAGAGCUUGAGAAAGGGAGCUGUCAUUGUCCAGGAGAGGCUGUAGAUCUCUGAUGAUGCGUUGUACCUUGAAGCUGCAAUGCUUUUGCCUAAUACAGUGGUACCUCGACUUACCAACGACUCGACAACCGAAUUUUUCGACUUACAAAUGGGGCUAAUGGCCGCGCGAUUAUGAAUGUCUCGACAUCCGAAAGGAAACCGCGGCGGUUUUAGAUAGGGAUUUUUCGACUCAUGGGUUUAGUUUUUCUGUUUCCAAUGCAUUCCUAUGGGAAGUCGCGUUUCCAAUAGCGUUUUUCGACUUAUGAAUUUUUCAACCUACGAAAAGUGCCUUCGGAACGGAUUAAAUUAGUAAAUCGAGGCACCACUGUACUGCCUUUUGCAUUUGACACCGAUUCGUUAUUGCUUAUGAACUUCUGAAGCGGAAGCUUUUCCAUGGGAAAAAAAAAAACCUCUUUGGGAACAUAUGCCAUGGAAAAAUUUCCACCUCACAUCACUGGUAGUAUCUGCAAGUUUGGAUUCUUCUGUCCCCUCCUCCUCUAAUGAAAAAAUGGGUUCUGCACAUAGAAUAUUAUUCUGUGUGCUUUCAAGACCAAUAUGCUUUGCAGAUGAGUGGAUAACCAACUUAGUCUUAGCCUCAAGGUGCAAGUGAGAGGCUGGGAUGAAUUCUGGCUGAAGGAAACCCCAGACCAACAUGAUCCAGACACAGAGUUUGGUUUUCUCUUUGUGAAGCCAGGAAACUUGGGUUCUCCUGCUAUGUUCUGAUAACGUUGUAUUUUCCUCCUUGUAGGCACAGCCUGUGUUAAAUCAUAAAGGAAAAGUAUAAUUAGGCGCCCUUAACAAUCAGCUCACAGGUUGGCAAUAAUAAUAAUAAUUUAGAGUUCUUGAACUUUUGUCCGUGGGUUUAUUAUUUUUUGUGAAAAGUGCAAAUAAUGGUCAAUGCAAACGAUUCACUAAAAAUGAUGCUUGUUUUUUAAUUAAAAAAUGCAGUCUCAAUCCAUGCUGAGAAAAAGAAAACGUUACAGGUUUACAAGUGGGGGGGGGGGAAAUAACACAGUAUGGAUAAUAAUAAUCUUCUUUGGUUGCAAAAACUAAUUGGUUCUGUUUAUGCUUGUGGAUCUGUUUAUGCUUGCAUCUAAAUAGUUAAAAGGGGUGGUUUACAUUACUAUAUGACUUCAAAAGAGAUCAAAGUUUUUAACUUGCCAACUUGCAUCCCUUUGUACAAGGACCUUUGGACUUCCAGAUGUUGUGGCCCUCCAGAUGUUGUCAGACUCCAGAGAACUGCUCAAGUCAGAGUCCUCCGCUGGGGUGCCCUCCAUAUGGUGUUAGACUACAACUCCCAUCAGCCCUAACCAUGGAACAGGUUGCCUGAGGCUUAUGGAAGCCUCACAGCACCAGGAUGACCACAGGGUCCCUGUCCUUGUUUUAGAUCACCUUCGCUGUGAUGACUUUCCAAAACCAUAGCGUUGUCUUGUUGUGGGACCGGGUGAAGGAGGGGUGACAAGGACUGCUGGGGAAGCAAGCAAGCAAGCAAGCAAGCAAGCAAGCAAGCAAGCAAGCAAGCAAGCAAGAAGUGCCCCAACCUGCUUUGUCUCUCUUGCCUAAGAGCAGGGCCGGGUACCUUUUCCCGCCCAAGGGCCGCAUUCUCUUAGGGACAAUCUUCUGAGGACCACAUGCAGAGGGUGGACAGGGUCAGAGGCAAAAAGGAGCAGAGCAAGCAAUGUCAGUUUCCCCUUUCUGCAAUAGGCUACUUUCUAGACACGCUGACACAGCCCUUGGGCAAUUUCUGCACACUUUCACAAGAACCUUUCCCCUCCUGGCAAGGAAGAGGCAUUGCAGAGUUUGAGGACACAUGGUUGAAGCUUAAUUUAAAAACAAAAGACAGGCAUCCACCUCACCUUGUGCUUUUAUCCUCUAUUUUUUGCUUUACCAGUUCUCCAAAGAGCUCAGGAUGGAAAAAAUGGUUUCAUUUUUGCAGCAUCCCUGUGAGAUGUGAUUGUGGCUGGCUGGAAAUUUGAACCUUAGUCCCACUAAGAAUACUUUGUAUUUUGCAUUACACUGGUCUGCUUACUGUAUUUUGCAGAAAGAAGGAGGAGCCUUUAGUUUGGUCUGCAUAUUUAAACAAGCUGACCUAAUUUGUGCCUCCUAAAUCAGAAUGCUGCUCGAAACAUAAUUAUCCUAUGGAUUUUUCUAAAAUCGUUAUAUGGUAGUACCAAAAUGCUUAAAUUUGCAUGUGCAUACUUUAGGAUCAAAUGAAUUGGUUGAAAUGAAACAUGCAUUUUUAAAUUGCUGCUUUGGGAUAAAAUGCAUUUUAAGUAUGCAUUUGUGAUUUAUGAUUUUUUAAAAUAAAGCAAUUGCAGAUUAAUGUGUAAAUGGGACUAAAUGGGCUUUGAAAAAUAUGGAGUAGCAUAAUUGGUGAUAUUCAGUGAUGUUUUACUCAGAGUAAACCUGUUGACAUUAAUGGGUAUUAGUCAUUCAUUAAUUUCAGUGGGUCUGUUCUGCAUAAAACUUUAUUGUAUAGCACUUAAUAUAAUAAACCUGUUCACAGUUCUGUAUUCUACAAUCUUAAUUUAUAAUAUUAAUAAUAAUGAAAACCAAUAAAAAUAGUAAAGAAAUAAUAACAAAAGAUCACUAUGUUGCGAGAUAAUAUUACACAGAAUACUAUAUGAGUUUAAAUUAGAACUUGAUAAAUAAAAAAUAACAAGUCCAGUAAAAUAUCACUACAAUUUGCGUACAGUCCCAAAAUACCCAAAUACUACCGGUAACAUCCGUGGUUAUAUAAUUCCCAAUAUGGAGUGGGGUUCAACUGCAUCAUUAAGCAGAUCAUUCCAAUAGUGAAUUUAAAAAUCUCAUUUUUUCCUAUGAAAAAUACCAUUUCUGCCUCUCUCUGGUACAUAAUAAUAAUAAUAAUAAUAAUAAUAAUAAUAAUAAUAAUAAUACAGUAAUAAAAUUUAAAAUAAUAAUAUGUAUUUUUUUUAUUUCCCCAGCCACUCUGGGUGGCUUACAACAUAUAUAAAAACACAAUAAAGCAUCAAACAUUAAAAAACUAAAUAUCCUAAAUGAGCAACAAACAAACCAAUAAAUCAGUAGAAACCAAUAAUAGCAACAAUAACAAUAACAAUAAUAAUCAGUUUACAGCUAAAUCCAAAUUAAAAUAGCCGACUUAUGAAUUAAAAUACAGACAUUUAAAUAAACAUAUGCAAACUUGUCACAGACUUGAAACAGACUGAUCUCUCCUUCCCUAAUUUUGCAUGACUUGUCUUGAUUGCAGGAUUUUUUUAAAAAAAACUAUAAAAUGAGACUUUCAAAACCAGCCGGGUCAUUUGAAUUGUAAAAUUGGCUGCAAAAAUAUUGUAUGUGUUGUACAUGAGUAUAUCGUGUUUCUGUAACCUCUUGCAGGGCUUAGGUGUAAUAAAGCUUGUUGUUGUUGUUGUUGUUUAGUCGUGUCCAACUCUUCGUGACCCCAUGGACCAUAGCACGCCAGGCACUCCUGUCUUGCACUGCCUCCCACAGUUUGGUCAAACUCAUGUUCGUAGCUUCGAGAACACUGUCCAAUAAAGCUUGAAACGGCUUAAUUAUCUUCGGCAGAACCACAUUAGAAAUUGGGGACUUCCAAUGAAGCCAAACGUUGGAAGAUUCACGGCAGACAAAGACAGGAUGUGCUUCUUCGCACAGCACUUUAGUUAAACUAUGGAAUUAGCUCCCAGAAGAGGCAGUGAAGGAACCAACAUGGAUGGCUUUAAAACAGGAUUAGAAAAAAUUCAUAGAGGGUUAUCGAUGACUAGCUAGGAUGGCUACUAGCUAGCAUGGCUUGUUCCUGCCUCUACAGUUGGAUAUAAUGCUAGUGAAUACCAGUUGCUGGAAAUCACAAGAGGGGAGAGUGCUCUUGAGCUUGAAUCCUGCUUGCUGGUUUCCUACAGGCAUCUGUUAGGCCACUGUGAAAACAGGUUGCUGGACUCGGUGGGUCUUUGGUCUGAUCCAGUAGGGCUCUUCUUCCAUUCCAGGGUCUGCCAUGCUCAGAACCGGAGAUUAUAUAACGCAAAAACAAGAUCUCUGGUCUGGGGUAAACACAACUUGGAAAUGACCUUCAGGUUUGGGCAGGGAGGGAAGCAGCGGCUUCUCUUUGUGCCUUUGACGGAUCACGUAAAAAAAGGAGAAAGAUCCGGCCUUUUCUGAUUUAAUCAGUGGUAAUAAAGUGGCUUUGGGCAUCUGAUGCGAUAGUGCCGCGAAGCAUUUAGCGUGCCUGUUUUUAGUUCUGUAACAGCCGCAGCGGACUUCUAAAAUAAACUGUGAAGUUACGGGCUGAAGUGCUUUGGCAAACUUCCACAGAAGGUCCUCCGGUGGUGCGAAGCUUGUGACCAAAGCUGGUGUGAGUCCCCUGCCCCGUUCCCAGCCUAAAGCGUGUAUGGUUUUCUGCCUGAGACUAGCGACAGCUUCAAAUGCUUCGUGGCUUGUAAAUGUCCCUGACUAGCAGGCUUCACUAACACGACACGUUGCUUAUGGCUUUAGCAGACCGUUCCUCUUUUUCUCCACCCCCUUGUUUUUUGUAGUUUCAGAUCGUUGGACAGGGCGGCAGGCACAUGGUUUUCAGAUCCUCUAGGACAGGCAUGUCCAACACCCAAGAGAAUGCGAUCUACUCCCACUAUAUAUAAAAAAAUCUGGCAGUGAUCUACCUAUUGGAUUAACCAAAGUUAUUGAGCUUUUUUUGGGGGGGAAGACCCAAAGCUGCUGAGCUUCCCCCCUUUUUGGGGGGGGGAAUCAAUCAGGAUAACGCGAUUGACCAGUUGAUCGCAAUCGACCGGUUGGACAUGGGUGUGUUGAAAUGAUAUCCUUUUGGUAUCAUUCCCCCCCCCCAGUUUUCCGUGUUUUACUUUUAACAGUUGGUUGCUAGGUAGCAAAAGCUGUUGAUAUCAUUUGUUGAGUCACCUAAAUGUUGUUGUAAGCAGAAUCAUUUUUGUGUGUGUGUUUGAUAACCUGCUGUCAUUUGAAGAUGGUUCAUCAUCAACGUGUCUUUACAUUAUUGGGUGCCAAAAUAUGCAUAAGAUUUCCCUGAUAUUCACAUAUUUGACUUGGCUAUGGCUUUCAGUUACCUGUUACAACUUGCUUUUCUCAUGUCUGGUCUCUUUCCCAUAUUAUUAUUAUUAUUAUUAUUAUUAAUAUUCAGAAGGGUCAACCAAUUAAGGCAGGCACCCCCAAACUGCAGCCCUCCAGAUGUUUUGGCCUACAACUCCCAUGAUCCCUAGCUAACAGGACCAGGGGUCGGGGGAGAUGGGAAUCGUAGUCCAAAACAUCUGGAGGGCCGAAGUUUGGGGAUGCCUGAAUUAAGGAGCCUAACCAAGCUUCUCUCUCUCUCUCUCUCUCUCUCUCUCUCUCUCUCUCUCUCUCUCUCUCUCUCUCUCUCUCUCUCUCCACUCAAAAUUGUUAAAACUAAGCAUCAAAACAGACUCUUCCCUGCCUUCCCCCCCUAAAAAUAAAGUUCGUUUCAAUUUCAAAAUAUGGGUUUGGUUAACCCCCUUUGAAGUGCUGCUACAUUGUCAAAAUGAACGUGUUAUUUAAGAUCAAAAGGAACAGGAUAUGGACGAAACAUAUUUCCGUUUAUUCAGUGUUGCAAAAAAUAUAAAAACAUUAUUGCCUCCCCGAAGUUCAGUGUAUGGUUUUGAUAUGUUUUAAGUUUAUAAGCACUCUCUCUUCCUUAUCUUAAUGUGGACUGUUUUUUUCCUUUAAAAACGAUUCAAAGAGUAUGUGAACUCUGGAAAGUCUAAGAAGGCUGAGCUUUUAACCCGAAUCAUCUCCUUUUUUGCUUUUUCUUUCUUUUUUCUCUUUCUUGAGACAAAGAUGAGGCUGGUUAGCUCAGUUGGUAGAGCAUAAAACUCUUAAUCUCAGGGUUGUGGGUUUGAGCCCCACGUUGGGUGAAAGAGUCCUCCAUUGUAGGGGGUUGGACUAGAUGACCCUCGCGGUCCCUUCUGAUGGCACAAGUCUAUGAUUCUAUGUACCGCUCAUUGCCAUUGACUGCAACCAAGGCAAAAAACCUAUGCACAAAAAACCUAGCGUAGGAUGAUGUGAGAAAAGCCGGCGUAAAGUUGCACCAGAUCCAAACCCGGGGCAUUCAGCGGGGCUGCUACUAUGAUUAAGCCUGGCAGAGGGAAAACAAUUGGAUUGCCAGGUCACAUAACUGAGCUCAGGAUGCAGCCUAGAUCCAGCCCUCUGGUCCUACUCCUGCAAUGCCCCUGGAAUGCACCUUUUUUGAGACUUAAGACCCGCUUUGACACAGCCAAUCUUGGAAGCUGGGAUGAACAUGCUAUGCCAACAUAUCUUUGGCUGAGAUGGUGUUCGGGACUUAAAGUUGGCUGAGCCAGGAAUCAGCUGACUCAGCCAGAGGUCCACCACAUCCUCAUCUGUUCAUCCUGGUGGACUUUGCCAUAGGAUUUCCCCCUCAAACUAUCAUGAAAAAAAUGAAGUAGCGCUUCAUUCACUGGCCCCUUCUGUGAUAAACCAUAGUUAUGCAGUUCAAACUAGUAGUACCUUGGUAUUGUCUGAAUUUAUGUUCUAUUCACUUUAAGGGCUAAGCAGCAGCAUACAAGGGUUAAAGAAGGAAAUCCACUGCAACUAAAUUGUACAAAUUAAAAACAUGUUACAAAUUGAGUAUUAAGUGUUCUGGACUCUCCCUCCAAGCGUUUCUCGUAAUGCUUAAUAGCGGAGGCUGACACUUAAUUGUAAUAAAUCAGACCCGUUGACUUAUUCCAUUGCACUUUGUUAAUCGACCGCAUAGUUUUCCAGCGUGAACCAGAAGUAAAGCAUUUCCAGAAGUAUCCUUGGACCAGAACUCAACGAGAACCAAGCAUAAUGGUAGUUGAACCAAACGAAAAAGUUAAAAACGAUUUGUCUCCAUGAUCAAAAGGGUGCAUGAGAAGAGAUUUUAGAACAAUGUGAAAAAUGGAAAUAUGCAGAAGGUAAUUCCAGUAACUCUAGUCAUGGAUGGAACAAGGCCUAAAACUUUCUGGAGCAUCAUUAGCGGACUGAAACUCUGGCUAGGGCAAGUGGGUGGUUCCUGUUAACCGAUGGAAGAUCCUUAGCGAGAUGACUGAGGUCCAGCAUAUCAUCGGUCCAAGCUAGAUGCAAUGCAGAUGCCACACACAGCCAUUUCUGCAUUCCAGCUGGUGCAAAAUGGAGCCAGGGCUUAUCGGGGGCCUGCUUUGGGCGGCGUACGCCUUCAGUAUUGUUCGAAGUGCAUUGGCUAUUCCCAAGCACAAUUCUGUUCUGAGUAUAAUAUGAAGUGCUGGUUAUUACCUUUACUUCUUAAGUACUAGAAUAUCGGAUAGGAGGACAUCUUGGACAUGACUCUGCCCUGAGGUGGUGUUGCAUAGUGGCGAGUGUGUUGACUGUGACGUCCCCAGUUCUAAUGUUGCAUCGUCCACUAAGUCCCUCAACUUGGUCUUGAAACCCCUCAACACACAUUUAAGAGAUUUGUGGGUGAUGGGGGAAGUAAGGCGACACAGGAGAAGUGCUAACAGUGACAAAUUUAAAUUUAUUCUGGGGCAGAUGCUGGUUUCACCAAUAUCGGCCAUCUCCCCCAACCCGCCCCGCCUGUUGAAAGUACUCUUGAGCAACAGCAGCCUAACUCUUGAAGCCACUUGCGGAGACACGUGCGGGAUUUCAGCCCACAUUUGCUUUUUAAAAAAUGACAAGCAAAUUUAUGUAUUUAAAUUCAUUCCGCCCCCAUCCUGCCUGCCUGCCUGCCCAUUUCUUACGUGGUAAUCAAAGACCCCAAGAGUGUAAAUUCAGUGUUCUGCAAAUGGUAUCUUCAAAGCAAAGCACAGCUGAAACUAAAUAAUUCACCCAAGACGGAGUAGAAUCACACACACACACACACACACACACACACACACUGCACCCCCUCUCCGCAGUAAAUAAAUAAAUAAAUAAACCACCCCAGAGAAAUACUGUAGCUUCCCAGCUGUUCUACUUCUCUCUCGCUCCCUCCCCUGCUCUCUGUGACGCAAAUCCAGGCAGCAUCCGCCUUGCCCGAGGGUAGGAGCUCACAGCUCCUCUCUCUCUCCCCCUCGCUCGCUUCCAUCCCCAUGCUGAUAACUAAUCAGAGCCGGGACACAAAAGUGGGACAGUCAAGCGACUCCUCAGAAUAGAGACGUGGAGGGUUUGAAGUGAGGGUUCCCUUGUUUCAAGUCAGAGAAAGCUAGAGUGCUCUGUGUUUACCUGUCCAAUUGCAAGCACCCUAAGAGUGAGGACCUUGGAGCAUUUUGGAGCAUGUUACCCAAAUCAAGUCAGAAAUUUUAUCGGUCAGCCAAAUGCAGGUUGUAGCCAAGAAUCCAGUCUUAGCAACCAAGCCGAGAUAAUAGAUAGAACAUAAUCCAAGACACAUGAUAAUACAUGUGUGUAUUAAUUCCCGAGUUGGGAAGUUUUCACGGUGAACUUAGUCUUGUCGGACAUAACAGGCUGAGAGCCACGCUAAGACAACAGAUGCUUGGUUUUUGUAGAUGCCACUAAAAGUAGCAAUUGGCUUUAAGAAUUCCUUUAAAUUAUUUUGCCCUUGUAGUUUCAUAUAAUUUACAAUACAGCCUAUGGUGCUAUCUGGCAAGGAAAGGGGCAAAGGAAAAGAAGCUCAGAUAGAUAUUUCUCUUGUCCGAAAAGCAAAUGUCUCUGUGAGGCUUGCAGCAAGCCUAUGCUAAAUAAUGCAUAAUGGUGCAAAUAAAAUUUCAUUGCUGUUGUAAAUGAGCAUGAUGUCCUUCUACAGAUGCUCAAUUUAUUUUUACGGGCUUUCUUCAGGUGUUUCAAUGACUCUGCUGCCAAGUUUCCUUAGUGAGUGUGUGUUUGCACUUACCCAGAGGACGCCUGUGGGUUAAAAAUCAGGACUGCACCAGAUAGCCUGCACUUUGGAUUUUUUUUUGAGGUUGCAACUUGCAUUAUGGUAAAAUUGGAAACUUGCCCUGAACCCUCUCUUAAUUGUCUGAAUGUUCACCCUGCCUGGCCGCCAGCUGUUUCUUCCUGCUUCCUAGAUUUAUCCCAUGAAUGAGAUAGAGAAAGAACUCAGACAGGAAUCAUGUAGUGAACGGUAUGAGAUCACAGAGGGUUUUUUUCCUCCUUGCCUCCUAAUACUACAAUCCAGGGUCAGCAAGUGAAACUGAAUGGUGGGAGAUUCAGAACAGACGCACCGCGUAGAGUUCUUCACACAGUGCAAAAACUACGGAGUUCCCUGAAACAAGGUAUAUAUGUCAGUCACAAAACCUCGAUGCCUUUAAAAGGGAGAUGAAAUUCAUGGAGGAUCAAGCUACCAGUGACUGCUGGUCACAGUAAAACAAUCCCAUUAAAACAACACAGGAAUUAAAGCAAGACAUGGAAUGCCCACCUCCGUGUCACCAGCAGCUAAUAAUAAAAAAAAACUAUCUGGGUUCUGUGGGCACUCCAUUGUGCUUGAAUGCACACCAAUGAUGUUUUGUCUGCCCGAAACAAAAGGAUGUUCCUUUCAAAUCUACACCUCUUAAAGCUGUCUCCAUACGCUCCUUUGCAGCCGUGGCCCCAACCUGUUGGAACGCUCUCCCACAAGAGACCAGAGCCCUGCGGGAUUUGACAACUUUCCACAGGGCCUGCAAGACGGAGCUGUUCCGCCAGGCCUUUCUUGGGGCAGGAUGCAGUUUGACUUACAGUGGUACCUCGGGAUAAGAACUUAAUUCGUUCCGGAGGUCUGUUCUUAACCUGAAACUGUUCUUAACUUCCGGUACCACUUUAGCUACUGGGGUCUCCCGCUGUCGCUGCGCCGCCGGAGCACAAUUUCUGUUCUCCUCCUGAAGCAAAGUUCUCAACCUGAGGUACUAUUUCUGGGUUAGUGGAGUCUGUAAUCUGAAGCGUCUGUAACCCGAGGUACCACUGUACUUUCUUUUGUAUAAAAGAAGCCCGAAGGAGGCACCCAAACCACUCACAAGGUCCUUUUGAUCAGUUGGUCCUGGCAAGUAUUAACCACUCUCAAUUCCAACCUGAUAAUUGCCACCUGCCCAGAUUUUAACUUGUCUGAAUUAAUUUUAAGAUGUAUUUUAAUUAAUUGAUGUCUGUUUUUAUGCGUAUUGUGUUGUUUUUAUGAUGUUAGCUGCGCUGAGCCAGCCUCAGCCAGGGAGGGCGGGAUACAACUAAAUUAUGUAGUAGUAGUACAGUGGAACCUUGGUUUAUGAACGCCGCAGACCCAUCUGGAACGGAUUAAUUCACUUUCCAUUACUUUCAAUGGGAAAGUUCGCUUCAGUUUAUGAACGCUUCAGUUAAUGAACAGACUUCCGGGACCAAUUACACCCAUGCUUUGGGUUAAGUACGCUUCAGGUUGAGUACUCCGCGGACACGUCUGGAACGGAUUAAUCCACUUUCCAUUACUUUCAAUGGGAAAGUUCGCUUCAGUUUAUGAACGCUUCAGUUUAAGUACUCCGCGGACUGUCUGGAACAGAUUAAUCCACUUUCCAUUACUUUCAAUGGGAAAGUUCGCUUCAGUUUAUGAACGCUUCAGUUUAUGAACAGACCUCCGGAACCAAUUGUGUUCAUAAACCGAGGUACCACUGUAGUUAGAUAGUCUCACUUUGCUUCCAUGCUGUGUGCUGGCUUCUCUAUUGAAAAUCAUAGCUCUUCUGGAAUACAUCAUAAAAAUAGCUGGCUUGAGCAGCUGUGAUAGUUAACACAGACUCAAUGGGUCCUGGUCAACCCCUAGUGCGACACGAUGCUUCAAGUCAGUCAUGGAGCUGAACCGUUUACGGAAAGGAUUGGUUAGAAAAUGGACGAUUUAGUUUCUUUUCGUGCAAUUUCUGGCAUCACUUAUUCAGCCAUCUUGAUUCCUUUCAUAAGCUAUCCUGAAUUAGAAACCUGGGGUUGAUUAAGAUGUUCUAUUUGAAGGUGGUUUCACCCAUAUAUGGCUCCGCUCCUCAAAUGCUGUGUGGUCGCAAGAAGGGAAUUGUCUUGGGUUUUUCUUUUCCUUGGGGAUGUUUGAGGAUUCCGAUGAAAACAAGCAGGAGUGGAAAUUGCCAAUGCUCACUUACUCAUCUCAGAACUGGAAUGGAAUUCAGUCCAGUAGAUACAAUCAAUAUUUGCUGUUGUUGCUUUCAGUCUGCAGACAAUAUGUAAUUGAUUAGGUCCUCCUUCUCUCAGGGUGGAUUUGAUUUAAAUCAAAUCAAUUUAAAUCACCAUUUCAAUCACAAUUUAAAUCACUAGUCAGUAAGACUUGAUUUAAAUCAUUUUUAUUAAUUUUUUUUAAAGAAAGACUCAUUAUUGCUGGUAUAAUCUUAAUAUUCACAACCAGAUAAAGCUUUCAUUAUUGCAAUAAUAAAUUUUCAGAGUAGUUUUUAUAGUUAUAUCAACAAUUAUUGAUUUGUUUAUACUAUUAGAAAUACAUUGACAGAUAAUUAUGAAAUUAUUGUGAGUUUUAAUAAGUUAACUGUUUAUAGUUGGACAACUUUUCUGCUGUGCUUUAUUGGACGGAGAAAAAUAACCAUUUCCUUAAUAACAAUUUAAACAAUUUAUUUAACUGAAACAAUAACAUUAUAGCAUAUGUAUCCAUUUUUGUUAACUGAUAUGGUUAAACAAUUUUUUUUUAAAAAAAAAAAAACCUUAGGCUGAGUUUUAGCACACAUGAAAAACUUAAAACAAAUCCUUAUUUCCUGAUGAAUAGCCUAUAGACUAUAAUGUAAUUUAAAUAGAAAACUAUAUUUAGAAAAAAAAUUCUCCAAAAGCAUUUUAUUUUAAAAAUCCAAUUUAAUUUUUUUACAAAAAAUCCGAUUUUAAUAAAAAAAAAAAAUCCGAUUUAAAUUUUUUUAAAAAUCCGAUUUUUUUUAAAACACAUUGAUUUUUAUUCACCUUGCCUCCUCUUUCCAUUUGCCUUGUGUUUCCUUUGCACUGAAAUGAAUGGGCUGGAAUAACUUAAGUUACCUAAUUUCGUGCCAGUGCACAGCAAUACAAGUGAUGUAGUUCGUGGAGAGAGAUGGAACUGCAGUGGAAGGGAAACAGUGCUGCAUGCAACGAAUAUGGAGUGAAGUGGAAAAUGACCCCUUCUUACAUCCCUGCUCUUCCCCCUUUAAGAUGGAUUUCUAUGAGUCCAAAUGAAGGCUCCCUAAUGAUGGUGGUAGUGCUACAUGCGUGUAAGUUACAGGAAGGGCACUUCUCAGCUGGAUACUUGCAACAAGGGAAUGGAGUGUUCCACAGUCUUCCCGGUCCUGAGGAAUUCAGCGUCAAAACACAAUAUGUUGUCCUUUCAACUAACUUCUGCUUUGACGUGGGUUGGGAAAGAAGAAAGUCGCUGAUUAGAAAGCAUCCCUUUUAUUUAUUUUACAAGGCUCAGCUUGUAAGAACAUGCACUUUAGAUCAGUGUUUAUGGCUUCAUUUAACAGCUCUGAUAAUCUGAAUGAGUCCAUAGCAACCACCCAUCUUACUUUUAUACAACUCUUGGUUAAGAUAAGCAAAUAGCAAGGGACACUUGUAUCGCUGUCUUCCCAGCAAUAUUUCACUGGAAACAAAAAAAUGGCUUGCAGAUUGUCCAAUUUGCUGUGCCCACUAUAGUUAGCAGGAGCUGAGAGGUGUUGACACUUUUUGGUACAUGCAUAUAAAACAUGAACAUGUAGAACACAAGGCAUGAGGCAAUACUGGCCCAUCUCAAAUAGAAGUCCUACCCACCAGUGACAAUCAUGCUAUCCUGGUUUUACAUUGUAGUGCAACAAAAUGUUGCAGUGUGGAGUGUUCCUCUUCAGGGAGUCAGCCAGCUAGCCAGGCCCCUUUCCAGGAUAAUAACACCCAAUUUCCCUGUCCCCCGCCUCUCAGCAGUCAGCCAUCAUUCUGUGGCAACUUGAGUAAACUCAGUCCUCUGUGUGCUGUUUUGAGGUCCUCCCUUUCGUAAUUUUGUUGCUGUUUUUCCCAAGCCCGCUGAAAUCUUCACCACACGCAUGGAUCAGCCCAUUUCUUCACGCUUGAAGAAACAUGCAGUUUUGCAUAAUAGUCACAUUUUAUUGGUCAGCAGUAUUCCCGAAUAUAAUGCAUUUCUUCCUGUGGUUUACACUAAUGCUUGCAUUUCUAGACAUACAUCAUCCUAACACCCGCAUUUUUAUAUGUAUUGCUUGGCUGGAGAACUGCAUUGCAAAGUUCAGAGAAGCGCGGGUUUCAAAGGAGGGCUGUGUUUUAAGUUCGCGUGUUGUUUUGGAAGUGGCAAAACAGGCAACUUCAACGUUAAAUGCAAACUGAAUCAAAAUUCUCGCCUACCCCUAGCUGAAAGGGUCAAACCCUUUACGUAGCAGAAAUAAAGUUAAAACGCUGGCAAAUUGUUUAUAGGAAUUGUGAUCUCCCCUCUGUCUUCCAGUGCAAUCUACUCCUCCCCUCUUUGAAAUGUCAGGGCAGAAGAACGAUAGUACAAUAUCAUUUUAAAAGAUUCUCCUGGGCUGCUUGAUGUUCCAGAAGAUUUCUCGGAAUUGAGCUCGGGGAGGCAGAUUGGAACACAGUGCAAGGCUUUUUUUCUGCCUUUCUGCUGGGUGUAGUUGGAGAACUUAAUUGGGUGUUAAAGGCUUUCCACUGAGUCUGAUGCUUCCUUUUCUCCUUUAUACUACUUCCUAUUGCUAAUCUCCCUUUGGAGAGAGACUCCUAGCUACAGAGAAUACACAGCUAUUUAGUGCCAAAAGAACUUGGUUCUAUUUGUAGGGAUGUUGGGGGAAUGAGAUUGCCCAGCGGGAGUUCGGGUGGUACCCCUGCCUUUUUAAAAAUCAUAAUCUUUACCUUUCUGCUUUGGGACAGUUAGGGAUUUUAUCCAAACCCCAUUGUUUUUCCCAUAAUGCCAUGCCAAACACAUUCAUUUAAUGGCUGCUGUUAAAGCUGUGAAUGUGUUCUGUUAUAUUUCAUUCCUGGGUGUGUGUGUUUUUUUUUUUAAAAAAAACACAUGAACUGUGAAUGGGAAGGAUUAGUACCUUGAAGCCUGGUUUUAUGGUGCAUGUGGGAACAAUGACUAUACGAAGUCAAACCAUUGGUCCAUCUAGCCCAGUAUUACCCAUUUUUGCUUUUUAAAGGUCUCAAGGGGAUAUCUUUUCCACUUCUGCUGGCUGGAGAUGCCAGAGGGUGCCUCCGGUCUACCUUAGUUUUGUGGGAGAGAUUCAAGUGCAUACCAGGAAACAUAGGUUUUUGCGCUUGAAGUGGCUCAAAGCCCUUUGUCGCCCUAGCGCAACAGAUCCACUUUGAAAAAGAAACAGGCUUUUCGCUGUUAGGGAAAGUGAUGGCGAAAUGCAUUGAAAAGUGUGGGAUGAGCAAAUGAUUAAGGGCAUCUAGAUCAAGGGAAGUAAUAGUACCACUGUAUUCUGCUCUGGUCAGACCUCACCUGGAGUACUGUGUCCAGUUCUGGGCACCACAGUUCAAGAAGGAUACUGGCAAGCUGGAACGUGUCCAGAAGAGGGCAACCAAAAUGGUCAAAGGCCUGGAAACGAUGCCUUAUGAGGAACGGCUUAGGGAGCUGGGUAUGUUUAGCCUGUAGAAGAGAAGGUUAAGGGGUGAUAUGAUAGAAAUGUUCAAAUAUAUAAAAGGAUGUCAUAUAGAGGAGGGUGAAAGGUUACUUUCUGCUGCUCCAGAGAAGCAGACAUGGAGCAAUGGAUUCAAACUACAAGAAAGAAGAUUCCACCUAAACAUUAGGAAGAACUUCCUGACAGUAAGAGCUGUUUGACAGUGGAAUUUGCUGCCAAGAAGUGUGGUGGAGUCUCCUUCUUUGGAGGUCUUUAAGCAGAGGCUUGACAGGCAUAUGUCAAGAAUGCUUUGAUGGUGUUUCCUGCUUGGCAGGGGGUUGGACUGGAUGGCCCUUGUGGUCUCUUCCAACUCUACGAUUAUAUGAUUCUAUGAUUAAUGGGCUGAGCAUAUGAGAAGCACAUCAGGAAGAAUGCAAAAGGAAUGCUUGUCAUUGUAUAAACUCCCUGCAAACAAAUCAGCAGAUGAUGAUGAUCAAUAAAAUUGAUUCUGUAUACAUUUUGUCCAAGCAAAUCAAGACGAAUGGAUGGUCACGAUCUGGAGGAGUCCAGUGGCUGAACCUGUGACUGCAAAGCUGCAGGAACUCUUGAUUGCUAAUGAUUAACACCUCUUUUCAAAAAAAGCAAAAGUUUAUAGAGCAGGAGUAAGCAACCUAAGGCCUGGGGGCCAGAUGAGGCCCAAUCACCUUCUAAAUCCGGUCCGGGAAUCAGCGUUUUUUUACAUGAGUAGAAUGUGUCAUUUUAUUUAAAAUGCAUCACUGGGUUAUUUGUGGGGUAUAUGAAUUCGUUCAUAUUUUUUUCCUCCAAAAUAUAGCCCACCCCAACAUACAGAUGCAUUGACCAUCAAAAGGAGGAGGGCUCAGCACAUUUAUUGAGUUUCCAACGAGAUAAUCUGCAUCCACAUUGAGACACCCGUUAUGCACCAGACCUUUGAACAGACACGUCUUAAUUACUGAGAGGAGAACUUGAGAAUGAGAAAUUGCCCUGUUUUCAAAAUACGUUGGUGUGCGUAUUCAAAACAGUUCGUCAUUGAAUUUUUCUGUUUUUAUGUGAACUGCAGUUAAACUCCUCCUCCCCUCCCCCGGUAACUUGUUGCAUCCUUUGGUAUUUAACUAUUUGCUGCUAUUUGUUUCCUGAAGACGAUCGGAGGCAACUCCUUUUGGAUAAUUCUACUUCUUUCCUAAUUUGCUUCUUCAUGCUUUUAGGGCAAGUUAUAGGCUGGUGGAGGGUUGGACCUCCCCCCCCCCCAAUCCCUCUUCCCUGGCCCUUUUACUCUGGUUCCCGAUAGGGAUGAAGCACCUACCCAGUUCUGGUAUAGAAACCGCCUGAAUAAAAAGGAAUAAAAUAAAAGCGAUGAGAUCUCUGUAUGAACAAGAGCAAUUGCCUCUGGCUCUCCUAACCUCCUCCAGCUUCCCCCUCUGGCUCUCAUCCGCCUUGACAGCCUUUGAUGUUGCUGUUCCUGGGCUUGAGUUAGUUCCUGCUUCUCCCUUCACUCAUUUCUCCCUCUUGCUUGUUGCUGUCAAGUUGAGUUCUGCUGGCAUGCUAGGGAAAGAGAGUCUGGCUCCGUAAGAGCUCACUGCGCGGCAGCACACACUGCCCAGCAAAGCUUAGGCCAGGGGAUCUAGCUGGAGAUGAACUCUAUUGAUGGAGUAGGCGAUGGAACAGCUCUCCUGCCUUGCACCCAACACUUUUUGUAUACCCAUGUCUGCUUUCACUGGUGUUGGAGGGAGCAGUGCUUCAGGUGUAGCAUACAAACAAAAAAAUCCAGACCGAGUCUCCGAGUCAUAGUUUUCCAACCUUACUUAGAGAGACAGGAGGAGAAGGUCGCUGCUUGGCUGAGAAGUGGAUCGCUGUGAGAUGAUACACCAGAAAUCGAAGCGAAAACUGCACACCAGUUGUUGUUGUUGUUGUUGUUGUUGUUGUUGUUGUUGUUGUUGUUGUUGUUGUUGUUUUAAACCCUACUGCAUGGUAGGGCUUCUCUCUGCACACUGCCCAAAAGCAACGGUGGGAAUAAUCUUUUAAAGAUGUUGGACCAGUUGAGCGCCGAAUGCGAAAAACUGGCCAGUGAGUGGCGGUCUCAUAGCAGCAGUGUUGUUGUUUAUCAUUUUUCACAGGGUAUGUUUAAUGCUCAAAGUACUUUGCAAUUCUUAUCUCAUUCACCCCCUUAGGGGUAGGGUGUUGUUGAUGUUCCCUGCCACCCCCACCCCCAUUUUUUUCAAAAGGAAAAAUAGGAUGGAACUGAGACUGAGUGAUGAAGCCGUCGGCAAGUCUCAAAAUAUCUUUUUGAAAGCUUGGAAGGGAGGGGGGGGAAGUUGCAUCUUUUACUGAUUUUAAGAAGUAUGACCCAAAUUAAAAGAAGUUUUAGAAGACGGGUAGACAUUCCGACCGUGAGGGAAGAGUGUGUGCGUUUUAACGCACAUUCUCCGCUCUUGAAACAGAUUCCUCGGAAUGCUGUAAACAUGCGGUGAAAAAAAUACUUCUGCCCCCCCUGCCAGAAGCUCCAUAUUUCUUUGUGGAACAAGAAGAUUAACCAAAACCUCUGUCUUUAUAGUAUAGGAAGCCGCCUUAUAUUAAGUCAGGUCCUUGGUCCAUUUAGCUCAGUAUUGUCUACACCAGGCAUGUCCAAAGUCCGUUUUGGCGCCUAAUCCGGUCGGUUUAAUCCAGCCCCUGAGGCAGUUUAUUUCCUUGGGUAAAAUCCUAAGAAAACACCAACAACUUCAAUCCUAAAAAAAGUCAAUAACUUUGGUCGGCCCCCACGGCCCUUGACUUCAUCAAAUCUGGCCCUCUUUGAAAAAAGUUUGCACACCACUGGUCUACACUGACUGGCAGUGACUCUGCAGGGUUUCACACGGGGGAAUCUCUCCUAGUCCUGCCUGGAGGUGCUGGGGUUAGAACCUGUGUCCUUCUCCAUGCAAAGCAGAUGCUCUAACUACUGUGCUAAGACCCCUCCAGAGAAUGGGCUGCAGAACUAUUGGAGGAAACAAGCAUAGCUAGGAGGUAACUUGCCAUUCAUUGCCUUUUCCCUCCCACCCUAAAAGCUUGAAAACUUCACUGACAACACUUGAAAAUGGCAAAACUACCUGCAUACAUUUACUUCUCCUCCUAGUUUUCCAUUGUAACUUUACGUUGUGUGGCAAUAGCAAUUCCGCCUGUUCUUUAGCACAGCCGGAUUUGAAGCUGAGUGGGGCAGCUGAGAGUGGGGUGGGUGGGGGGAAGCGCUCCUCUUUUCCACAAUGGCUGUGUUAAUUUUAAAUCAUUGAUACAAGAGGGACUUGCUCUAUUCACUGUUCUUCGCAAUUAUGUCAAGCAGACCCAGUGUCUGCAGAGACAAUGGCAGACAAUCAAUUGUUCAAUAUCCUCCCUGCUUACACUUGCACCUGUUCCCACUUGGACCAGUAGGAGGUUGCUCUGGAGAAGUGAUUUUGCUCCCCAUUGUGUGGGGUGUGUGUGUGUGUAAAAAUAAAUAGAUAGAAACACAGAAACCCCCUGGAUUUAGGCAGAGCUAGCUAGACGGACGUUUGAUGGAUUUCUGUAUUUUAGAAUUUCUGUUUUUUUUGGAAGCCGCCCAGAGUGGCUGGGGGAACCCGGCCAGAUGGGCGGGGUAUAAAUAAUAAAUUAUUAUUAUUAUUAUUAUUAUUAUUAGCAGGGGACAAAGGCCAGUAAUAGCACAUCAAGGAAACCAUUGGAGGGCAAGACCGCCAGGCAAGGGGAAGUGAGGCCCCUAUUGCGCAGAGGCAAAGGCUGUGGUUUAGGGAUUCAACUUUGGAUGACAUAGGCUGGGAGGGGGUCCUUGGAGUCUGUUAGCAGUGAAGAGGAUGGGCAGAGCUCCACGUGAGCCGAGAGUAACAAGCUGGAAGCAAGAGACACAGAGGGUGGCUUUCUGCUGUCCUUUGAAUUCAAUGCUGCCCUUAUGGGGAAAGCCAAACCUUCUUGAAUGUGCAUGCUCUGCAGCCCCUCCAUCUAGGUACAGUUUGUAUAUAUGCGUAAAACCAUACAUCAUAAAAACACUGCGGUCUCUGUUGUGCCUCAUUGCCCCCAAAGCAAACACAGGCUCUAGUAAGUGUGCCUGCAACUCCUGGAAUCUUUGCACUGCUCAUGGAAAUAGCGGUUCUGUGUAACAAUACGUUUAGAGAAUGUAAGGAGAUUUUUGCUUCCAUCCAUCUAAGUCAGACUCCCCAUCCCCCUGCCGCCAUAGUACCGGUAGUAACCAGGAUGUCAAGGGUGUCACAAUGACAAGUUGAGCAUGUUGGUGAAUGCCUUCCUUUACUGUCUGUGUAUUGCUUAAAACAGUGUAUUGUUUAAAAUAUGUGUGUUUGAGGUGUGUAUGUAUGCAUAUGCAUUGGGGGGUGGGGGUGGAUAAAAAGAAACCAGUAUAGGCAACAACCGAUUUGCAGACGUCCAAUUGGCGCACGAUCGCGCAUGUGCGCAUUGUGGCGACUUGGAAGUGGGCAGAAUGAGGUGGGGCUGCCUGUAAUUAAAUUCCAUCGCCCCACCUCUGGUGAGCUAAGUAAUAUCAGGGCAGUUUUUAUUUUUAUCUAUUUAUUUUAUCUAUUUUGCAGCACUUAUUUACAGCCCAAUUGUAAAAAACAAACAAACCCCAAAGCAGUUUGCAAUUCAGAGUGCUUGUUCUGAGGUGCUUCAGUUUGGGGAGGGUGUUCGUCACUCGCCACCCAGAAAGUGAGCUGCAGAAACAGAGAGCUGCAAAUUGGAGGCUUUCAAUUAGCAUUAAGAAGGGCCCUUUUGCUGCACGCAUCUUAUUGGUGAAUAUAUAUAUGAUAUGAGGACAUUGGCCGUGGGGAAGGGCAUAGCUCUGGAUAAUAAUAUAGCAGCGCGUCACAAAGAAGCUCCCUUUGAAUCCCAGCUGGUUGCGGGAAAACAAUGCUUCAGCUGCGAGGACGUCCACCUCUUGUGCCGGGAGCAAAACGUUAACUCUUGCAAUUAAAUUCGUACAAGGUGGAUUUCUGGAUGCCCCCCCCCCCCGUUUCUAAGCAGUUUUGCAUGAUACUGUAUACACUUCAGUGUGUGAGAGCAAUUGUGCUAUUGCUUGGGACCUCCCGCUCAUGAUGCCUGGGAUUAUCUGUAUUGUACGUAGUUGGGAGCAAAAUGCACCAGAGAGCAAGUAGGUCUGGGCCCUAUGACGUCUCUUCGUAAGAGAACAAUGCGGCGGUCGCAACCGGAACUGUUAAAUAACUGCAACUUUGGAGCAUUAGCCUGCCUCCUGGCAUUGCUUUGAUGUUAUCAUUUUUUUAAUUGCUGCUGCUUUAUUUGGAAAGGCAACUGCUGUGCGUGGAGUAUUCCUCUAGCGGCAAUUUGCGUCAGAUCAGAGGACACAGAGUACGGCGAAGUAAACAGCACGCAAAGGGAUGGUGGUGGUUUGGGCGGGCUCUGCUGCUGCACCCACUCGCCUUUGGUCAUGCCACCGACUUUGCCCCCCUUGGGCUCGCGGCUCACAGAGUGCUGAGCAGGCCCUUGUGCAUGUCGGCAUGGGACCAUGCGAGAAGGAAAAUUGAGUGGACAGUGAUGCCAGGAAAGCUGUGUGAGCCGUGUGCUCCUCUGGAGGCCCCAGAGGGCCUUUCUGUUCUCUGUCAGUGGUUCAUCUGAAUACCAUAUGUCACCAAACAAAUGUUCCCAGCCAUUCCACUCUAACGGGCACGGCAGACAUCACGUUCCAGGAAAUUUCCAUGCCCGGCUCCGAGAUAAACAGUAACAGGGCCGGCCUAAUUGUUGAGUGGGUUAAAAAUGCAGAGCGGUUUUGAAAUGCCAUUGCUUUCCCUUUUAAAAUAUUGUGUCUGUGUCUGUCUGUUUGUCUCUCUCUGUGUGUGUGUGUACAAACACACACAAACAAAUAUACAUAUAUCACUUUUUAAAAAGGAAGGUCAAUUUCCAGGUCAAGCUGAUUUACAAAACAAGCAGUAGAAUAAGCAUACGUUUUUAUAUAAAUAUAUGAAGUAUAAAUAUUUGUAAAGGGGAUUUAUUUGCGUGUUUAGGCCUUUAAACCUCCCCCUUAAAUAAAUUCACACAAGACUAAAAAUUUUGGUUUGGUUUUUUGGCAGAAUUUAGGCCACAACUUUAUUGAUCACAGCAAGUGAGUGGUUGCAUAGGCUCUGAUUCGACUAGCUCCCUGCACCGUUGCAGGUAGCGCUGACACAGAGCUCUAUCGUAGGUCAGCCUAGGGUGAACACCUGGAAUGGCAGAAAGCCGGGAACAUGCUAUGUCCACCACCCAGAUAUCCCCCUGGACUCAGGCACGGACACAACCCCUCGCAGGGUUGACCAAACCAUUGAGUCCCUGGAUUCCUUUAAUGGAAUACCCCUUCACAUAGGGAUGGCAAGAGUGUUUCCCCAUCCCUAUCACCUGAACCCAGAGCCUAUCCGCAACCUUACAAGUUGUGACGAUUUGCUACGCGGCAGGCGAAACCCAAACGGCACCAGCUAAUCAGCCAAGUGGGGGAAAUUCCUGCCGUGCCCCUGUCCCAAAGACAGAUGACACACGACGGCAUAGCAAGGUCAAGCGCAUAAGCCCUAAAUAUAGGGAGAGGUGGGUGGGUGUUCUGAUGCACUGACCAAGAGAGAAAGCUCAGGGUCACGUGCAUUGGCAUAUAUAGGUCCCUUGAUCCAUUUGGGUAGCGUCCCAUUGGUCAGAUUAAACCCAGCAUCAAGGGACCUACCAAUUGGGUGUUGUGGCUUUCCAGUCGUACCCACCCACAACACAGGGUCUGGUUGCCAGGUCUCACCACUUUGAGGGAGGACACAAUUCAUUCAUUCAUUCAUUCAUUCAUUCAUUCAUUCAUUUCCCACCUUUUCCCCUGACAGGGUCUCAAUGCAGCUUACAGAUAAAAUAAGAACAGCUAAAAAACAUUGGGGUGGGGUGUGUGUGUGUGGGGGAAACGAUCAUUAAACAAAAAAUUAAGCAUCAAUAGAAUUAAAACUAUACCUACAUGUGUAUACCAUCUAUUGGAAACAUACAACUGCAACAAAAAUAGCCUGACACUAUGCCUUUCUGGCUUCUACAGUGUUGAGCUGGUGUGUCUUGACACCUAGAGAUGCAAUCUUCAUAUAUCAACUAUGUUAUCUCUAAGCAAAGAGGCACCAGUCCAUGGUGGCAAAUUGGCCCGAAAAUGGGCACACACAAGCCAAGCCUAGAUUGGGUCCCUUGAUUUUUCCAGUUUUCCCUUUGGAGCGGUCCAUUCUUGGAUUUCCUAUCUCAAAAAUCAUCACAACACCAAGUAAAGGUAUUGUCUAAGCAGCACUGGGCAUCCUGGCGUGCUCGUCUCAUCUCUCUCUGAUUCCUAAGAGAGGCAGCCAGUCUGAUAGGUGGGCUAAGACCUUGUUCUCUAUAAACAAAGCAUCUGGCUAUAACAGCAUCCCAGAAGUCCGCUCACCUCAACCGGCCAUGUGGUGCCUCAAGUGUACCUGCCCACUUUUGAAAAUCAG